rnacentral:rRNA from 1 species
CACCGGCGGCUCGAGUGGUAACCGUUAUUAUUGGGUCUAAAGGGUCUGUAGCCGGCCGGAUAAGUCUCUUGAGAAAUCCAGCAGCUCAACUGUUGGGCUUUCAGGAGAUACUGUUCGGCUCGAGGCCGGGAGAGGUGAGAGGUACUUCAGGGGUAGGGGUGAAAUCUUGUAAUCCUUGAAGGACCACCAGUGGCGAAGGCGUCUCACCAGAACGGACCUGACGGCAAGGGACGAAAGCUAGGGGCAC